UCAGGAUUGACCCCUGCCGGCGUGCCUAAUACAUGCAAGUCGAACGAAACUUCUUUAUCACCGAGUGCUUGCACUCACCGAUAAAGAGUUGAGUGGCGAACGGGUGAGUAACACGUGGGCAACCUGCCCAAAAGAGGGGGAUAACACUUGGAAACAGGUGCUAAUACCGCAUAACCAUAGUUACCGCAUGGUAACUAUGUAAAAGGUGGCUAUGCUACCGCUUUUGGAUGGGCCCGCGGCGCAUUAGCUAGUUGGUGGGGUAAAGGCUUACCAAGGCAAUGAUGCGUAGCCGAACUGAGAGGUUGAUCGGCCACAUUGGGACUGAGACACGGCCCAAACUCCUACGGGAGGCAGCAGUAGGGAAUCUUCCACAAUGGGCGAAAGCCUGAUGGAGCAACGCCGCGUGGGUGAAGAAGGUCUUCGGAUCGUAAAACCCUGUUGUUAGAGAAGAAAGUGCGUGAGAGUAACUGUUCACGUUUCGACGGUAUCUAACCAGAAAGCCACGGCUAACUACGUGCCAGCAGCCGCGGUAAUACGUAGGUGGCAAGCGUUAUCCGGAUUUAUUGGGCGUAAAGGGAACGCAGGCGGUCUUUUAAGUCUGAUGUGAAAGCCUUCGGCUUAACCGGAGUAGUGCAUUGGAAACUGGGAGACUUGAGUGCAGAAGAGGAGAGUGGAACUCCAUGUGUAGCGGUGAAAUGCGUAGAUAUAUGGAAGAACACCAGUGGCGAAAGCGGCUCUCUGGUCUGUAACUGACGCUGAGGUUCGAAAGCGU
rnacentral:rRNA from 2 species